rnacentral:misc_RNA from 1 species
AACGGUCUAUACCUGCGGUACCUGCGGAAGGAUCAUUACAGAGUUCAUGCCCUCACGGGUAGAUCUCCCACCCUUGAAUACUAUACCUUUGUUGCUUUGGCGGGCCGCUUUGGCUACUGGCUCUGGCUAGUAAGUGCCCGCCAAAGAACCCCAAAACUCUGAAUAUUAGUGUCGUCUGAGUACUAUAUAAUAGUUAAAACUUUUAACAAUGGAUCUCU